rnacentral:rRNA from 1 species
AUGGGGGAAGCUGAUGGAGCAACGCCGCGUGCAGGAUGAAGGCCUUCGGGUUGUAAACUGCUUUUAUCUGUGACGAUUUUGACGGUGCAGAUGAAUAAGGAUCGGCUAACUCCGUGCCAGCAGCCGCGGU